UACAGAGGUCCCGAGCGUUGUUCGGAUUCACUGGGCGUAAAGGGUGCGUAGGUGGCAUGUUAAGUUUGAUGUGAAAGCUCAGGGCUUAACCCUGAAAUGGCAUUGAAUACUAGCGUGCUGGAGGUUUGGAGGGGGGGACUGGAAUUCUCGGUGUAGCAGUGAAAUGCGUAGAUAUCGAGAGGAACACCAGUGGCGAAGGCGAGUCCCUGGACAACACCUGACACUGAGGAGCGAAAGCGUGGGGAGCGAACAGG
rnacentral:rRNA from 1 species